CGAAGUCGCAAGCUCGCGAGAGUAUGCUAAUCUCUUAAAGCCGUCUCAGUUCGGACUGUAGGCUGCAACUCGCCUACACGAAGUCGGAAUCGCUAGUAAUCGCGGAUCAGCAUGCUGCGGUGAAUACGUUCCCGGGUCUUGUACACACCGCCCGUCACACCAUGGGAGCCGGAAAUGCCCGAAGCCAGUGACCCAACCUUAGGGAGGGAGCUGUCGAAGGUGGAGCCGGUAACUGGGGUGAAGUCGUAACAAGGUACC
rnacentral:rRNA from 1 species